UUGAAAACAAAAAUAACAACAAUAAAACCCAAAAAAUGUGCAUUGACUUUGAGACUGAGUGCUGAACACUCAGUUUGGGUGCUGAGGAAAAGCUGGAAGGAUUAAGGAAACUACUGUCAGAAGUCUAAUGGCCCUCGAAAAUACUCAGUGAGAGCUUCAAGGGGAAGCCAACCACUAUGAAAGAUGUCCAAUUACUCUGAGCCUAUCAUGCUGGAGAACUCUCACCCACAGGUACUCCAGUCAACACCACCAAUAGCAAAUGCCAGUCAUGAGGGUUGCAGUACCAGAGCUCUUCUUGAUGGAUAAAACCAUAGAAAAGUGUUCAAAAUCCUUAUGAGGAAGUUGUGCAAGUUGCCUCAUGCUUAGAGGAUGCUAUCUCAUUGGGACAAAGCCUACUUGGCAGACCAGACCAGGACAGCCUUUGUGAACCCAGACUAAGCUCCAGAGCCUCCACCCUUCUCAGCCUCACUUCUGCUGCUUUGCCAGACUUGACCUUGGGCACACAGUUAUCACUUAUAUUGGUAAAUGUUAAGAAACAAUUGAAGAGAGAAACACCCUGACUGUGUUCUGCACAGAAAGGAGUAUUAACUUGUAAAUGGGGAGUGAUGUGGCUCAGAAUGCCAAAGCAGUUAUUAACUCCUAGUCAACCUUCCAGUCUGAAUUCUAGUGAAGUCACUUCUGACUCAGGCUGAUGAGUGAUUUCCUUUACUCCUCUCUGUUGAAAAUUAUGUGUGUGUAUGUGUGUGUGUUCACACGCGUGCAUGGAUGUGAUCACGUAUGUCUCUCCUACUAAGCUUCAAGCCCCAGGAAAGUCUUUUUUAUGUUUGUAAAAGUGAUAUGUCAUAAUUGUACGUAUUUUGAAGGUACAUGUCAUAUUUUGAUACAAUGUCCAAUUAUUAAAUCAGGGUAAUUGAGAUACCCAUCACCUCAAACAUUUAUCUUUUCUUUGUGUAGGAAACAUAAUCUUUUUCUUCUAGUUAAUUUGAAUAAUACAAUAAAUUAUUGUUAACUGUAAUUUCCCUACCAUGUUAUCGAAUGCUAGAGCAUAUUCCUUCUAUCUAACUGUACUUUUGUACCCAUUAACUAACUUCUCUUUAUUCCUCCUUACUUUCCUUCCUAGCCUCUGGUAGUCACCAUUCUACUCUCGAGGUCCAUGAGAUCUACAUUUUUAGCUCCUGCAUAUGAGUGACAACAUGUGAUGAUUGUCUUUCUGUGCCUGGCUUAUUUCACUUAGCAUAA